GUCUAAGUAUUCAAAAAUGAUUUUAAAUUGCAAAUUUAAAGGUAAGUUCAUACUUUUUAGACU
rnacentral:tRNA from 1 species